CGGAUCUCGAAAGCCUGUCCCAGUUCGGACUGGAGUCUGCAACCCGACUCCACGAAGUUGGAUUCGCUAGUAAUCGCGCAUCAGCCAUGCCGCGGUGAAUACGUUCCCGGGCCUUGUACACACCGCCCGUCACACCAUGAGAGUUGGCAAUACCCAACGUACGUGAUCUAACCCGCAAGGGAGGAAGCGUCCUAAGGUAGGGUCAGCGAUUGGGGUGAAGUCGUAACAAGGUAGC
rnacentral:rRNA from 1 species